rnacentral:rRNA from 1 species
GUGCAAAGGUAGCGUAAUAAUUUGCCUUCUAAAUAGAGGAUUGAAUGAACGAAUUAACAAAAAACAACCUGUCUCUAUAUUAACCAAGAAACUUUAUCUCUAGGUGAAAAAGCCUAGAUUUCAAAAAAAGACAAGAAGACCCUAAAAGCUUAUUAACGCUUAAUUGAAACAAAACAAAAGUUAUUUAGUUGGGGCGACUAUAAAUUUAAGAAACAUUUAUUAUUUUAAAGAUCUAAUCUUAAAUAUUAACCUUAAAAAGAAUAUAAGUAAGCUACUUUAGGGGUAACAGGCUAAUAUUCUUCAAAAGUACACAUUGACAAGAAUGCUUAGCACCUCGAUGUUGGCUUAGGAGA